GAUGAACGCUGGCGGCGUGCCUAAUACAUGCAAGUCGAGCGAACAGACGAGGAGCUUGCUCCUCUGACGUUAGCGGCGGACGGGUGAGUAACACGUGGAUAACCUACCUAUAAGACUGGGAUAGCUUCGGGAAACCGGAGCUAAUACCGGAUAAUAUAUUGAACCGCAUGGUUCAAUAGUGAAAGACGGUUUUGCUGUCACUUAUAGAUGGAUCCGCGCCGCAUUAGCUAGUUGGUAAGGUAACGGCUUACCAAGGCAACGAUGCGUAGCCGACCUGAGAGGGUGAUCGGCCACACUGGAACUGAGACACGGUCCAGACUCCUACGGGAGGCAGCAGUAGGGAAUCUGCCGCAAUGGGCGAAAGCCUGACGGAGCAACGCCGCGUGAGUGAUGAAGGUCUUCGGAUCGUAAAACUCUGUUAUUAGGGAAGAACAAAUGUGUAAGUAACUAUGCACGUCUUGACGGUACCUAAUCAGAAAGCCACGGCUAACUACGUG
rnacentral:rRNA from 1 species